rnacentral:rRNA from 1 species
GGGUGCGAUCAUACCAGCACCAACGCACCGGAUCCCAUCAGAACUCCGCAGGUAAACGCGCUUGGGCGAGAGUAGUCCUAGGAUGGGUGACCUCCUGGGAAGUCCUCGUGUUGCACCCC